GGUAAGCGCUGGACCAGAGCAUCACAGAGCAACAACCAAGUCAUCGCCCAGGCACGCUGAGCACAGACUGCAGUUCCAUGAUGGACAGAGGCAGAAUGGGGGGGCACCUUUGCGCCCUGCUGUUGCUGGUAGCCCUGGUGAUGGGGGUCCUCGGUACAGACCCACCCACCUCCCCAUCGACAACCGUUAACUCCACCCACUCAUCGGCAAACCAAACUCACUCAGCUGCCCAACCCGGCACCUGCGACUGGUUCACCUUCUCACUGUCCCUGUACCUGUCCCUGUCCCUGGCGGUCCUGCUUCACUAACAGCGCCUCGGACCUGCCGGAUCUCACGCAGUCGACCCCUGAUUGGCUGCACGCAUGUUGAUUUGUGCUCAGACAUCCAGUCAAACUGCUUCAGUGAUGAUGAAUUUGUGUCUUUCCUUUUACGUACCUUGCGAAAACCCUUGUCCCAGUUUUAGGGAAAUUUCAUGUUUUGUGUAUGUAAAUGUUUUGCUUGUGGGCAACGAACCAGGCUCACAUGCUGCCAAAAAUAAAACAGAAUCCUUCAGAUAUGAGGGCGCCUCCUACCGGUCUUCCGGAUACUUCUUCUCCCACUAUGCCAGGAGGGCUGGCGCUCCACCUGUCAACCCUCAACCGGCCCCCCAGGACACCCCAAAUAUUUGGGGGAGGGGGUGUCUGUAAGGCGAAUCAGGACUGCUAGAUGUUCAUUCCUCUGCAUACCUUUUGUAAUCAAACAGCUGUUAACUGAUCAGGUCUGCAUAGUGCCAUUUUUAGAGCCUGGUGUUGUAGGUUUCUGCAUGUCGAAUAAAAUCACUACACAAA